AAUUUACUCCUAACCCAUGUGAAUAUACCGUAUGUUGCUUCGGUAGGCUGCAUCUAUCCCGUGGGGUUCCCUUGGGAGAUGUGGAAAAGCCUGCCGGCGGCCUAUUUAAUCCUGUUUAUUUAUUUUUGAAUUCUGAGGUUAUAAUUAAUCAGUUAAAACUUUCAACAACGGAUCUCUUGGUUCUGGCAUCGAUGAAGAACGCAGCGAAAUGCGAUAAGUAAUGUGAAUUGCAGAAUUUAGUGAAUCAUCGAAUCUUUGAACGCACAUUGCGCCCAUUAGUAUUCUAGUGGGCAUGCCUGUUCGAGCGUCAUUUCAACCCUUAAGCCUCUGUUGCUUAGUGUUGGGAGCCUACGAUGGCGUAGCUCCUCAAAAGUAGUGGCGGAGUCGGUUCACACUCUAGACGUAGUAAAUUUUAUCUCGCCUGUGAGUUGGACCGGUCCCUUGCCGUAAAACCCCCCCUAUUUUACAAGGUUGACCUCGGAUCAGGUAGGAAUACCCGCUGAACUUAAGCAUAUCAAUAAGCGGAGGAAGAUC
rnacentral:rRNA from 1 species